rnacentral:rRNA from 1 species
AGAGUUUGAUCAUGGCUCAGAUUGAACGCUGGCGGCAGGCCUAACACAUGCAAGUCGAGCGGUAGCACAGAGAGCUUGCUCUCGGGUGACGAGCGGCGGACGGGUGAGUAAUGUCUGGGAAACUGCCUGAUGGAGGGGGAUAACUACUGGAAACGGUAGCUAAUACCGCAUAAUGUCGCAAGACCAAAGUGGGGGACCUUCGGGCCUCAUGCCAUCAGAUGUGCCCAGAUGGGAUUAGCUAGUAGGUGGGGUAACGGCUCACCUAGGCGACGAUCCCUAGCUGGUCUGAGAGGAUGACCAGCCACACUGGAACUGAGACACGGUCCAGACUCCUACGGGAGGCAGCAGUGGGGAAUAUUGCACAAUGGGCGCAAGCCUGAUGCAGCCAUGCCGCGUGUGUGAAGAAGGCCUUCGGGUUGUAAAGCACUUUCAGCGGGGAGGAAGGCGAUAAGGUUAAUAACCUUGUCGAUUGACGUUACCCGCAGAAGAAGCACCGGCUAACUCCGUGCCAGCAGCCGCGGUAAUACGGAGGGUGCAAGCGUUAAUCGGAAUUACUGGGCGUAAAGCGCACGCAGGCGGUCUGUCAAGUCGGAUGUGAAAUCCCCGGGCUCAACCUGGGAACUGCAUUCGAAACUGGCAGGCUAGAGUCUUGUAGAGGGGGGUAGAAUUCCAGGUGUAGCGGUGAAAUGCGUAGAGAUCUGGAGGAAUACCGGUGGCGAAGGCGGCCCCCUGGACAAAGACUGACGCUCAGGUGCGAAAGCGUGGGGAGCAAACAGGAUUAGAUACCCUGGUAGUCCACGCCGUAAACGAUGUCGAUUUGGAGGUUGUGCCCUUGAGGCGUGGCUUCCGGAGCUAACGCGUUAAAUCGACCGCCUGGGGAGUACGGCCGCAAGGUUAAAACUCAAAUGAAUUGACGGGGGCCCGCACAAGCGGUGGAGCAUGUGGUUUAAUUCGAUGCAACGCGAAGAACCUUACCUGGUCUUGACAUCCACAGAACUUUCCAGAGAUGGAUUGGUGCCUUCGGGAACUGUGAGACAGGUGCUGCAUGGCUGUCGUCAGCUCGUGUUGUGAAAUGUUGGGUUAAGUCCCGCAACGAGCGCAACCCUUAUCCUUUGUUGCCAGCGGUUAGGCCGGGAACUCAAAGGAGACUGCCAGUGAUAAACUGGAGGAAGGUGGGGAUGACGUCAAGUCAUCAUGG